GACGAACGCUGGCGGCGUGCCUAAUACAUGCGAGUUGAGCGCUGAAGGUUGGUACUUGUACCAACUGGAUGAGCAGCGAACGGGUGAGUAACGCGUGGGGAAUCUGCCUUUGAGCGGGGGACAACAUUUGGAAACGAAUGCUAAUACCGCAUAAAAACUUUAAACACAAGUUUUAAGUUUGAAAGAUGCAAUUGCAUCACUCAAAGAUGAUCCCGCGUUGUAUUAGCUAGUUGGUGAGGUAAAGGCUCACCAAGGCGAUGAUACAUAGCCGACCUGAGAGGGUGAUCGGCCACAUUGGGACUGAGACACGGCCCAAACUCCUACGGGAGGCAGCAGUAGGGAAUCUUCGGCAAUGGACGAAAGUCUGACCGAGCAACGCCGCGUGAGUGAAGAAGGUUUUCGGAUCGUAAAACUCUGUUGGUAGAGAAGAACGUUGGUGAGAGUGGAAAGCUCAUCAAGUGACGGUAACUACACAGAAAGGGACGGCUAACUACGUG
rnacentral:rRNA from 1 species